GAUGAACGCUGGCGGCGUGCCUAAUACAUGCAAGUCGAGCGAACAGACGAGGAGCUUGCUCCUCUGACGUUAGCGGCGGACGGGUGAGUAACACGUGGAUAACCUACCUAUAAGACUGGGAUAACUUCGGGAAACCGGAUCUAAUACCGGAUAACAUGUUGAACCGCAUGGUUCAACAGUGAAAGACGGUUUUGCUGUCACUUAUAGAUGGAUCCGCGUCGCAUUAGCUAGUUGGUAAGGUAACGGCUUACCAAGGCAACGAUGCGUAGCCGACCUGAGAGGGUGAUCGGCCACACUGGAACUGAGACACGGUCCAGACUCCUACGGGAGGCAGCAGUAGGGAAUCUUCCGCAAUGGGCGAAAGCCUGACGGAGCAACGCCGCGUGAGUGAAGAAGGUCUUCGGAUCGUAAAACUCUGUUAUUAGGGAAGAACAAAUGUGUAAGUAACUAUGCACGUCUUGACGGUACCUAAUCAGAAAGCCACGGCUAACUACGUG
rnacentral:rRNA from 1 species